AAUUCCAGCCGCAGGGCCACUCUGCACGGGCUGCAGGGCCGCCUCUGCCCUCAGCCGCGCUGGGGAAGGGGACCCGGCGACAAGAUGCUAUCAGCCAUGGCCCUGCCUGGGCCGGGGCCCCAUGGCCUCCCCUCUCCGUGCCUGGCACCGCUGGGCCCGGCCCGGCCGGGACACGGCCCGGGGCUCCCCGGAAAGCGCCCGGCCCCCAGGCAGAGCCCACCCGGCCCGGGAGGCCAGGCCGGCCGCGCUACCUGUUCCCAGCCCCGAAGGAAAGAGAGCAUUCCCGGGCUUUGUUCAUUUUCAAAUGCAAAUCUCACAGAGGUGGAUCUAGUUUUUAAUUGGCUAUUAACAUGUCUGUUCUCAAAGCUAGCCAGCAAUUGGUUUUGCUAGGCACAGAGGAAGCUCUCAGCAGCUCUUCUGAGAAAAAAAAUCGCUUUCAUGGGUGGCUCCAAUGCAAAACCAACACACCUGUCUGUUAUAUAAAUUACGUACUUAUUCCUGAAAGAUAUGGAAAUAUUUAGAUUCAGACACAGACUGUUUUAUUUCUUCUUUUAUCUUAAGCUUUUUACUCUUUCAGGGAAGAUUAAUUACUGUGCUAAUUCCCUCAAUUGAAUACUUACUAAAAGCAAAGGGAAUGCUUCUUUAAAAUUCUGGGGAUUUUUGCUAGUUUCCAUUGUCCAAGAAAGCCUCAUCAUGAUACCUGUUGAGACAUCUUUUUCUGUACAAACUAAAACACCUAAAUCUAAACAACACAGGAUACUAACAAAUCCAGUACCAAACAUUUUUGUAAUUAUUCCUACUUUUUUUCAUAAGCAGCUUCAGAAAAUAUAUUUAUGUGUGAUUGCCCAUCCUAGUGUUUCAAUCCAUAAAUAAUUUAUUUGUCAAUGGGCAAAUAAGAAAUCCCAGUUGCUCACUGGAAGUUUAUCUUUCCAAGCUUAGGAAGAGAUUGAAAAUGGAAUGAAAAAUGAAAAUAUUUACACAUUACAAAUGAAUUGUACACAUUUCCCUUUUCUUCUUUACACACUACAAUUAAUUUAUGCAUUGACAGCAUGUAUUAUCUUCUACAAUGGUAUUCUUGUGAUCUCACUAGCCUCUCCUAGCAACACUUCCUUAAUGAGAUUAUAAAGUUCUUUGUCAUGCCUACAACAUGCAAUCAAGCCUUUGCUUUGUUUUUUGUUUGGUUUUUUUUUUUGUGUGUGUUUUUUGUUUUGGUUUAGGUUUGGGGUAUUUUUUGUUGAUUCCGCUAGUUUCCAAUAUAGAUGAUAUCUAAGCAGCCAAAGUUACAAGGUGACAGGUACCAGGUAUCUUGACAUCACAGAAGUCAGUAACUUACAAUACAGAUUGCUAUGAUGAAUGUAAAAAAAUUACAAAACUCCAACUAAAAAAAUGCUAAUAUGGAAAAGAAUGGCAUGAAGAAGACCUAAUGAUGUAUCCUGGGAAAACCUGGCAGUCUUGUUCACUGGUCAGAAGCAUGUCACCUUUUAAAGUACUACACAUAAAUUGUAAGUAGAGUAGUAUGUACAGGAUGCACAGAAAGUCUAUCUAAUUAGCAUUUUUAGAAUUCCUUCCUCAGACACGCUGUUGGCAGUGACAGUACGUUUCUGUUUACCAUUUCAAAUUUUAGAAACAUUUUCAUCAGGUAAUUUUUCUUUACAUGACUUUCUUUUCAUUUGCUUUUUUGGUUCCUAAGGGUUAGAAAAUUAUUUUGGUGGUAUCAUAAUGUAUAUUUUAAGAUAGAAUUGGUUAUCCUAAGUGUGAACACAGUCCUGGGAAGUUUAUUUAUUUUCUCAUGACUUUUUGGAUAUGUUAUGAUACAUCUUUCUUGAGAAAAGUACUCACAAAUAUUUCUGGGAGGGUGGUUUUUAAUUAAUUUUGUCUCUCAGAUACAUGUUUACCAGGUCCCAGAAAAUGAUUUUCUCAAAAAAUCGUCUUGUACUUAACUAACAUACAUUAAAAAGCAAGAAAUUAUCAAGAAGAUGUAACCAGCUUUUUCUUUGUACUAGAGUAUAAAAUUUGAGUUAUGCAUUUCAUUUCAAAUUAAGAAGCUACAGCUUGUUCCAAUAUUUAUUUCUGAUUCUGAUGUAGAUUUGCUUAAAAAGCAAGUCUGAAUACACAUAAAUGCUUGUUUAUCAAUUGUUGCAAUAGAAUAUGUAUGUUGGUAUGUAAAUAUAAACAUUUAUAUGUAUAUUUAUGCAUUAUUUAUGUGCCUUAUGUAUGUGUAUAUAUAUAAUGUACAUAGAGACAUAUUAAUUCUCUCUUUCUUCUACUCCUUUGGGCUAGAUGCCAGACAAAUCUUGAACAAAACCCAGAAGACUGCAGCCAGUUAGACUAUAGUUUGCAAGGUCACAUCCACAAGCUCAUGUGGCCACUACAGUUGUGCCAACAGCAGCAACCCAUGAAGUUUGAGCUACUGACAUUACUGAGUAGCUCACAACUGAAUCUUGGGCAGAAGUCUCUAAAUCCAGUAGAGGUCCUGAGGCCAGUGAAUAGAGUUUACUACAUACUUCAACAGCCUGUUGGAAGACUUCCCACCCACCCAAUCAGCCCUUUUCCAGCAGGCAGAAUAGUAAGGGUUCCAUCAACUUCUUGAGCCUUUCUGCACUGUGAAAUAAAAAUGCUAAAGCUUCUAUGCAUUCCUUUACCAAAACUUAACCAGUUAUUUUUUUGAGCUCCCAAGGAAAUCAUGGAAUAAAGAAGAAAUUAAAUAUAAACCACAACAGAGACUGAAUAUAUUUUUAUAUUGGAAGGUGAAAAUAAUAUCAGGGUCUUAUUUGGUAUCUUCAUAUGCAGCAGCAAAUAUGCAUGAAAGAGAUCAACCUGGCAUGACAUUGACAUUGAAGACAUUUGGAAGUCUCCUUGUGGAAAACACUAUGUAUUUUUCAGGAACAUUAACCUUGGAAUGAGCUCUAAUUUUUGAUUACUCUGGAAUGUACAUGCUUACAGAAUUAUAAAAAUAAAUACAGGAAUUUAUAACUUUUGCAAAUAUACAAUGAUUCAAUGCAAACUUUCCAUUUCAGGGGUCAACUUUUGUUUCAACAGCUCUUGCAAGAAGAGAUGGUCCUCUGCAUCCUCUCUUAAAAUCUACUUAUUAGCUUUCUUACCCACCACUCAAACACAACAAAACAUAUGAAAUUGACAUUAAAAAGGAGGAAAUAGCAGUUUAUCAGAAAUGUCAGUAUUUACAGUCUUCUUAGGCACUCAGAAUCAUGCCUUUUAAUUUAUUUUGAACAAUCCUAGAAAUGAGCUUCCAGAACUUGAUUACGUAGGUGUGAUAUAACAUUGUUAUAUGUGUUACAGACCAUGUGACAGUAGCAAAAGGGGAAGGAAAGAAUGCUGAAUCUAUAAUUUGGAUAAUUCCUUCUGUUGCAGUCAUAAUACACUCUGUUUUGUUUUCAUGGUGGGUUUUGGUUUUUUGGGUUUUUUGUUAGUUUUUGUGUGUCCACGUGUGCGCGUAUGUAUGCAUGGAAGUGUGCAAAUAAUUGCGUUUUGGACAGCACAAUGGAGAGGGGAAGUAUUUAUUGGAAUUUCCUACCUGGUUAAAAUAGUAAUGAAAAAUAAAAUGGCUUCAUGUUUCUUCUGCAAACUCAAGGAGAGAAGGUGUAGCUUUGGCUGAUGAAACUUUCUUCACAAUUAAUAUUGAAAAAUAUAUUAUACCUCACUAUCACUUCCCUUUAAAAUUAUCUAAGAGCCUCUUAACUCUUAAUGCCUCAAAGAGCAUCUAAGUAAGAGCAAUAUAAUAAUUUUUUAGUGAUGAAAACUGUAAUAGCUACUUUUAUGUCCAAUUCUUGUAUUUUGUAGCCAAAAACAUGUCCUGGAUAAUAACCUGAAUCAUCUGUAUCAGUAACUGGAACAACAUACUUACUGCUUGCAAAGAAAUACUGAACUUUCAAAAUAUAUUCCCUAGAUAACAAAAAAGGCAUCAAUUUAUAAGGAUCACUGAAAAUGAUCUUAAAUUUACUUCUGUAAACUGUUUUACCUGUGCCAUAGUAAUUUUCCAAUAAUAAAACAAAGAAACAGAAGAACAGGUAAAAAUAUAGGAAAUUAUUAACAUGUGAGCAUAUAAAUCACUGCACUAACCUCAACUGUAAGUCAGCAAUCAGCUGAAAGCUCAGUGAUGAUGUAACAAAAUUUUCACAUACUGUAUCAAAACUGCAAAAUAUAUAAUGUACAAAUGACAAGCUGACAGCUUGUUUCUGAAAAGCCUUUUUCCACACCACCACCAGACUCCAUUUUGAGUGAAGUCUUACCACUCCUCCCACCAACAUAGAGUGUGUGCUGAAAAGUAAAUUGCUAGCUACGUCCUUCUGAAAUUUUCUAUUAAAAGUCCCAGAAUAACCGAAAUUAUUUAACUUUGAGAACCAAAUUUUAGGCUAUUUUAAGGAAUGUCUAAAUUUACUCCAGGAGAGAAUGGUUGGCUCAGCUGCCUUUGUUGCUGCAAUGGGUGUCAGGUAAGUCCACUCAUCCACAAGAGAAUAUGGCUUUACUCAAAGGAUUGGUGGGAGAGAAAUUAAAGAGUUAGAACACUUCACCUCCUCUGUAGAUUGUGAGAAGUCAGGUUCUGGUGUAGGACCUGAGAAGGAAGACAGAAUUUGCUGAGGUUUUCACUUGUUGUUCAUGGCUGUUGAGAAAGAAGAACAGCUGGCACAAAGCAUGACCUGGCUGGUGAUCGCAUUUGCAGAAGCAGCAGCUCAGGGUCUGAAGGAGAUCUGAUGGGAAAUGGUGGCUAAUGGGGAGGCUUUAGGGGUGAUGCCUCAAACGAGUGCCCUUGGAAGUGCAUACAUAACUGCUGGACACACUGAAGAGGGUGUAUUUGUGGGGGCUGCAAAAGAGAAACUCACCCCGUCCCUCAGGCAUAGGAUACAGCAGAUGAAAAAAUGGAUACUCUAUCCUUUCAGCAUGAUACUUGCAAUGCUUUUCCAAAAUCCAGUGAUCAUCUCAGUACUCUCUCUUUUUUUGCAGCACCUUCCUCUACCAAAAUCUCAGAGCAGCUGAAGCCAUACUGCUACAUACAGAAACACGGAGCAUGCUUUAGACACAGGGAAGCUGUGAGUUUAAAAUGCCUCAGGCAGAGGAAGCAAGUCAAUUUGGAUUUCUCUUAUCUCUAGCAAUAGAGGGCAAAAGAAAGGCAGUCUAUAAACACCAUCUCCUUCUCCAGCAAUUUGUAAACCUAGCACAUCUGUCCCAUGCUUUAUUUAUGAGUGAAUGAAAAACAAUUGGAUUUGUGUCAGAUAGAAUAUCUAAAUGCUGAAAGGAAUGACAGAUUUCGGUUUUUCAUUUUGGCCACAUAAAUACACACUUUAUGUUUACUUUCACUACAAGUCAAAAUCCACUGUCUUUCCUUAGAGUUAUAAUUAAAAGGAUGGAUACAAACAAGCCCUUCGGCCCUGCUAGCUUGCAUUACUUGAAACAAUGCCACCUCAGAUGGUGAAAAUAUUGGAAAACUAAAACUGCCACUUCUCUUUUUCUUUUUGAUGACUUGGACUCUAAGACCAGUACUGUGUUAACUAUAUUUCUCGUGUUACUAAUUUCAAGAGAAAUGUCACCGUAGAGCUACAGAUAGCAACCAAAACAGUGAACCUUCUAUUUUGCCUGUGAGCUGAAGUCAAAUUAUACACUAGUUAAAAACGGGAAUUACAUGGUAUGCAAGGAUUUUCUACAGUAGAGAUUACAGUGCAGAUCGAUCUCCACCUUUCAAACAAGCCUUUAAUACAGAAGCAUGAAAGGAACACUGCACCGAUCUUUGGGCUGUUCUACUGUCUUCAUUGUGGUGAUGCCUCAGAGCAGGUGGACACCUCCCCACCUACACAAGCUGUGCAGCUGGGCUGACAGAGCAGCCUGGACACAGGUGAGAGAGAGAUCUGCACCAGGAAGAAACAAUCUACAAGAGCUGCAGACAUAGCCCCAUGGCAGGGAUAGGGAUGACUUGUGCUGCCUCUUUGCAGGCUGCCCAGAGUGUGUCUUCACCGCCACCAUGGGGUGCAGACACAAGACGUUGCUGUUCCUGCCCCAACAUUCUUCUGUAUCCCACCUGCCUGGAAAGUCUCCACUCCUCUGUGAGCAGGCAGCUCACAGCCAAGGUGCAGCAAUUCAGUGUGGUACACACUUUUACUUGGUAAAAUCACAUUCUGAAGAAUUCACAGAACUGAAAAUUAGUAUUGUCAUUUUAUUUCCUCUGGUAUUUUCUGGAGUACUUCUAUCAAGGCAUUACUUAACGAAGGUGGAAUUUGCUUCUUGAAAACAAUGCAGAUGUCCUCUCCAUGGAAAUGUAUAUUCAUAGUUUUGAAACCUCAACAUGUUGAUCCUUACUGCUACUCUUAAACGAGUACUUUGGAAGACUAGAAGACAAUCCAAUAUUUCUGACCUUUUCCUAAAGAGUGACACUGUUGUAAAACAUUCAUGUACCAAGGGGCCUAUCCAUCUAAUCUCUCUAGACUUUUAAUACUUCCAUAGGCAUUUAUGGUCUCAACAUUUUAACUCUUAAUCUAAACUUAGGUAUUUUUCUCUUCACUGACAUGUAAUACAUAUGAACUUGUCAACACGAAGGAGGUGAUAACCUCAGAAUGGAUUGUUCCAGUUAUGCAAACUUAUAUAAAUUUAGGUAAUUUCUCUCAACAAAUGGAAAGUUUUCUUUUUAUUUUGUGGGACAUCUAAGUUGCUAGCAGUCCCCUCUUCAAUUUGUCAUCUAUACUGAUUGUGCUUUCUGCAUAGCUGCCCAGCCCUUUGCUCUUGCACUGUUCAGUGCCUGUUGGCUGUUCUGUCAAAGUUCCAGUGAGGAGAGCACACUCUCUACAUGAAUUUAUCUUCUUCCCACAAAUUUACAUCACUAAUGACUUACAAAAUUCAAACAUUCAAUGGUUACACAGCCAAAAAUUCACCUCUAUUUUCUGUCAUAGUUUCCUCUUUGUUAUGAAUUCUCACAAAUCUUUGGAAAACUCAUUCAGACUCUCAUCUAGCUUCUUUCUGCAUUUCUGAUUAAUUCCUCAGCUGAUGCUGACCCAGUGUGGGUUCAGCUGAUUUUCACUGAGAAACAUGCUUUAUUUAAUCAUGUAACAUGUACUAAAGUUGCUGAAAAUAGUAUGGUUUUCUAAAGCACAAGCAUUAGAAUACAAUAAAUUUACAGAUUUUCCCAUGGUUCAGUUCAACCUCAAAGCAAAAAUAGAUUUGUGGAAGAAAAUUAGUUAAAUAGUGUGUUUUCCUCUUUGAUAAAUCAUAUGCCCUGCUUGAAUUUAAAUAAUGGAAAUAAAAAGAGAUAUUGCUAUGUCUAAGUAACAUUCCUAUAGAAUAUGGAAUUUAUAGACAUAUUUCACACUUAAAACAAAUGCACUUAUAAAAAUACUUUAAAAUUGUAUUUCCAAGUCUUGGUGGGUUUUUUUUUUCCUGUUUCUUUUCUAAAAUCCAAGGUUAAUUAACAGUAAUAAUGUAAUUACCCUGCUGUCAGAUGUCACAGCAUUAAUUAUUACAGAAAAUACAUAAAACAGUGAUACCCAAAUCCUAAUGCAUGGGAGGGUUAUUCAUUAAUUUUAAGAAGGUUUCAGCAAGAAAGCCUAGGUUGAACAUAAAAACUAAGAUGAGAUUUUAAUGUCUUACAUCAUUAACUACUUCAGGGUGUAUUUCAAACUCAUAAAGCUAUCCCAUAUGGUACCCAUGGCAGAAAUCACAUAGUGGGCCAGAACUUUCUAAAUAAUGUAUUUAAUGAUUUAUUUAUAGGAUAUCUAAAUACAAAUAGCUACAAAGGAUUGAAAAAAGGGCUCUCAUAACCCAGGGUUUAGUUAGGAAAUGCUUACACUCCUUAAAACUUCAAUGAUUUAAACUUACAUUCUAUAGCUUCAUCUAACCUACAGGGAUUAAUUGUAACAUUUCACAGUAACUAUUAGGAGGUAUAUUUUCUUUAUCCCCUACUUCAUUUCAAUAAAACCUGUUCAAUGCACAGCUAACUGUUAUAUUGAUGCAUUUUAAAGGUAAUAUGAAGAUAACAUAAGACUCUUCAAAGCAAUUAGUAAAAUUAUUAUAUUUGCUUAAGCUGUCCACCUGGUUGAGUGCCAAAAAAAAUCCACUAGUCAUCUUGAAACUUUCUGGUAAUCUUAUUUCUCUCUAGACACUAGGCUUUUUUGCUGAUGAAAUUUCUUUAAAAUACAAAUUUCAACAAUCUGAAGGUGCAACCAACAUGUCUAAGCAUAAGAAUUUGUAAAUCACACAAGAUGUGUACUAUCUUAAAAAAUACGUGAUCAUACUAACAUAUAGUAUCAUACUAACAUAUAACGUAGUCAUCUUUAAGUGUUAUCAUGUGUGAUCAUCAGUAUAGAUAGUGAAAAAAAAAAGUGGUUUUAUUCAUGUUUGACCUUAACCAUUCACAUUUUCAUAACAGGUAUUUUCUUAAAAUAAUUUUAUUUAUUUAAGCAUUAUUAUCCAAUUCUGAUCAUGACCACAGGGCUGAAAUUAGUUUGUACUUAUCCCAAAUGCCUGCAUUUUAUACAGCUGGUGACAUAAUAGACCAUGACUCUGAAAGAUGUUCUGGCUUACAAACCACACAUUUCUGUCUUCAUUAGAGACAUACUGAGAAUAUGGGUGCCUCUAAUAAGAUGCCACAACACAGGUAACAUGCCAUUUUUAACUAGUCCUCAGCUGAAAAUGAAUACUUCAUUUCAAACUAUUUUCUCAGUAAUUGAAAUUCUAGAAGUUUCUCCUCCAACAAACAUCUCCAUAAGAACUCAGAAAUGUGUACUCUCUGAAGUUUAUUUCUGCUCCAGAAUUAAUUUCCUCCUGUGACCAGACUUACUCUUAAAUUCAUCAUAAUUAACACCCCAAACUACUUACACUGUUUUCUACUUGACCCAUGUGGUUCCCAAGAGGAGGGAAACCUGGGUACUUUUCCCAUCUCUACUGGUGAUCCCAAAAUGAGAAAAAAAGCUAAAUUAUUUUCCAACAAUCCCCCAUAUUUCAGAAAUGCACAAAUUACAUCCUACCACUUUUUCUGAAGGAAACUGCAAGACAAGCUCCUCGUUCAGGAUAUGAGUACAGUCUGAGAGGUUUCUGUGCCUCAAAGAGUCAAAUGCCACAUCCAUGAAGAUGUUGCACCACUAUUUUCAUGGUGAUUUCUAAUAAAAAGUAUUUAUGGCAAAAUUCUCUGUUGAACUUGCCAGCACAGCCUGUGGAGAGAAAUCUCAGAUACCCAUUUGAUUUUAAGAGCAUUCACCAGAGACAUGAGGUACAAUACCAGCCCCAGUGGUACCGAUUUAUUCUGUCUGCUUGGAGGACUUUCUUGGAACAGACUGGAUUCGUAAAGAUUAUACACCCUCAUUUCGGUGUAACAUCAGCUGUAGGAAGUGAUGUUCCUCUGAGCACCAUCUUCCCCAAAUCUCAGUGUUCCAGUGAGAGCCAGGACAGAAAGAAGCAAGGACACACAGAGUGAGGUGAUCAGAAUAAAACUAUUACUAUUAAAUCAUAUGCAUGAUAUUAGAACUGUAGCUGUAAUAUUACUAUCAGGGAAAAAAUAGAACGCCCUCCACAGCAAAGUGAAAAGCUUGGACAUUCAAAAGCACAAAACAAAGCUGCAUUUUGUGGAGUGGGGGAAAUGGUAACUGCUGGGAAACUAAACAUAGCAGAAGAUGGAGAAAAACCCUGCUUGGGCCAAACUGUAUUUUGAUUUGCAUGAUAAAGGAAGCAAAUAGGACAGAAUUUAAUCUGAUUGUACACAUAAAAAAUAUAGGUGUAAACUAAUCAAAACAAUUCAGAACAAGAGUUCUCAUGGGUGAAUAUUUGUAAAGAAAAACCAUUAUGCAUACCAAACUACAAUUCCUAAGAGACAAGAUAAUACACAGAAAAUACCACAUUUAUCAAGAUUUUACUUUGCAUUUAUAGGUAAAUAUCAUCAGCCAACAGAAAGUAUGAUCUCUAUUAUGUAUAUUCCAUGCAAAGCAAUUUCAACUAGACUAUUCCAAAUAUUCAAGAAAAGCAAUCACUUCCAGUAAAACGGAACAGCAAGAACACUGCUCUGUCAAAGUGAAAUAUGGCAAAAUGAAAUAGAAAAUAACUUUGGUCUUGUUCCUAGAACUAUCAGAAGUUUGCCAAUAGUUAUUAGAAUUUCAGGAAGCGAUGUGAUACAAACCCACUAAUUUAUCUAAGAAGGCUUAUUUGAAAUUCACCUAGGCCUACGUUACAUGCCACAAAUAAACCUGGUAACAGAUGCCCAGAAAAAAAACCACAAGUACAAAAUUGUAACUUACUACCUUUAAAUGUCUAUUUUUAGUGACUACUGAAUACUGGAGAUGCCUUUGCUCAAUAAAAGCUGCAGUUUACAACCUAAUGUGUUUUGGGCUUUGUAGACAG